AAAGUCUCUCUAACACUCACUCAUUAAUCUUAAGCUCCAGCGAAGGAAAAAUCUUCAAAAGACUGAUCUGUUUUAAGAUCAACUGAGAUGAAACGGCGGUCUCCCUGCACGGGACGACUGGGACUCCGAGAUACGAGUGUUAGGUCAGCAGCAACCAACAGCCAUGACCACUUCCCCAUUAGUCCUGUUUUUGAAAUGGGUUAGAUACAAUCUGCCACAAUGAACUACUGGAAUAGACCAUCCCUUAAAGAUAACCAACUUAAACGAACUAUUAUUCACAAGAUUUUAAUAUUGUUGCUUAUAUUGUAAAUCUCCACUCUGAAGGUUAUGGGUUCAUAAUUGAGCCUCAAGGAUAGAUUUCUCCUUUGUCUGUACAUUUAAAGGAGUUUAGUUCAUCCAUAAAUAAAGAUUCUGUCAUCAUUUAUUCACCUUGUCAUUUCAAACCUGAAAGACUUUCUUUCUUCUACAGAAGAUAUAUAGAGGAAUUAUAAAUAAUGUACUGAUCCUUUUUCAAUGCAAUUAUUGGAGAAUGGAGGUUUCCGAAUCAAAAACUGAAUCACCAAGAUGUCAAGAUUCAAGAUUUAAUUUAAUCACAAGAUGAAGCUUGUGGUUUUCGCAAGAACGAAAGAUUUCAUACAGAUUUGGAACAACAUGAGGGUGAGUAAAAGUUACAGAUUAUUUAUUUAUUUAUUAGAGAAAUGCUCCUUUAAGAGUUGUGAGGUUGUGUGCGCGUGUGUGUGUAUGUGCUUAUUUAUUUUAUGAGCUGGUUCAUCCUUAUAGGAAAAACAAACCCACAGAUAUCACAGAUGUUAAAUGAAAGCUUUUACUGCCAGCAUAUGAUUGAACCAUAUUUUUAUUUUCUGUACUUUCAUUGUAUUGUUUUACCUGAAAAUAUUAUCAGAAAUUUCACCUGUCCCCUGACGUACAAUGUAUCCACUGGGAAACAGAAAUGACUAUAAUACAGGGGAUACUCAAUGUCUGGCUCAUCACAACAGUCUGGAUUCGUGGGACAAUUUAUUUGUGUUUCCAUUUCUGCACUUCAAGUGAGCAUCACAGCACCAGAAAACAGAAAGCCAGCGAUUAUAAUGAACAAAUCUGUCUAAACUGCAAGUCAGCGUGUCCAUUAUAAUGCAGUGUAGACAGCCUUGCUGAUUAUAAUUGUCUUCUUGUUUUGUUGCUUUUGUUUGGCCAGGGUAGAUGGAGUGUGAAAAUUUGUAUUUAAAGGAUAUCACAAAACAUUUUUGCAAUUCAUUCUAAAUCUAUCUAUCCAUCCAUCCAUCUAUCUACUGUAUCUAUCCUUAAAAAAACAUUUAAAUAUAUUAGCCUGUCUGUGAAUUCUUAAGCUGAAACUCUUUUUCUGUUGUACUUUUGUCAUGAUUUAUCCUCAUCUUCAUUUUUAAAUCUUGUACAUCUGUAGUUUCAGUUAAUUAGCAGAACAACUGGACAUAUUUGGGGCAAAUAUGACUGGAACAUAUGGCCAAAAGAUUGUUAGUUUCAGAAUGGUGAAGCAGAAAAAGUUCUUGGAAUAAAUUUUUGAUGGGAAACCCA
ensembl:lncRNA